rnacentral:rRNA from 1 species
UGAGGGAUAUUGGGCAAUGGGGGAAACCCUGACCCAGCGACGCCGCGUGAGGGAAGACGGUCUUCGGAUUGUAAACCUCUGUCUUUGGGGACGAAGAAGGACGGUACCCAAGGAGGAAGCUCCGGCUAACUACGUGCCAGCAGCCGCGGUAAUACGUAGGGAGCGAGCGUUGUCCGGAAUUACUGGGUGUAAAGGGAGCGUAGGCGGGAUUGCAAGUUGGAUGUGAAAAACUGCGGGCUCAACCCGGAGAGUGCAUUCAAAACUGCGAUUCUUGAGUGAAGUAGAGGCAAGCGGAAUUCCUAGUGUAGCGGUGAAAUGCGUAGAUAUUAGGAGGAACACCAGUGGCGAAGGCGGCUUGCUGGGCUUUUACUGACGCUGAGGCUCGAAAGUGUGGGGAGCAAACAGGAUUAGAUACCC